rnacentral:rRNA from 1 species
AACGAACGCUGGCGGCGUGGAUUAGGCAUGCAAGUCGAACGCGAAAGGGGAGCAAUCCCUGAGUAGAGUGGCGAACUGGUGAGUAACAGGUGGGCAAUGUGCCCCAAAGUGGGGGAUAACUCCGAGAAAUCGGAGCUAAUACCGCAUGUGGCGUCAAGGACCUCGGUUCAUGACGUUAAAGGAGCAAUUCGCUUUGGGAUCGGCCCGCCCCGAUUAGCUAGUUGGUAAGGUAACGGCUUACCAAGGCAACGAUCGGUAGCUGGUCUGAGAGGAUGGUCAGCCACACUGGAACUGA